GCCAGACUCCUACGGGAGGCAGCAGUAGGGAAUCUUUCACAAUGGGCGAAAGCCUGAUGGAGCAACGCCGCGUGCAGGAAGAAGGCUUUCGGGUUGUAAACUUCUUUUCUCAGGGACGAAGCAAGUGACGGUACCUGAGGAAUAAGCCACGGCUAACUACGUGCCAGCAGCCGCGGUAAUACGUAGGGGGCAAGCGUUAUCCGGAUUUACUGGGUGUAAAGGGAGCGUAGACGGCGAUGCAAGCCAGAUGUGAAAGCCCGGGGCUCAACCCCGGGACUGCAUUUGGAACUGUGUGGCUGGAGUGUCGGAGAGGCAGGCGGAAUUCCUAGUGUAGCGGUGAAAUGCGUAGAUAUUAGGAGGAACACCAGUGGCGAAGGCGGCUUACUGGACUGUAACUGACGUUGAGGCUCGAAAGCGUGGAGAGCAAACAGGAUUAGAUACCCCUGUAU
rnacentral:rRNA from 1 species